AGCGAACGCUGGCGGCGUGCUUAACACAUGCAAGUCGAGUGCGCGUUUCUGUAGCAAUACAGGAAUGGCGCACGGCGCACGGGUGCGUAACACGUGGGUAAUCUGCCCUCUGAUGGGGAAUAACCCGCCGAAAGGCGGGCUAAUUCCGCAUAACAUUCCGGGGACCUCGGUCUCUGGAUUCAAAGGCGUAAGUCGUCGGAGGAGGAGCCCGCGCACGAUUAGCUGGUUGGAGGGUAACGGCCUACCAAGGCUAUGAUCGUUAGCUGGUCUGAGAGGAUGGCCAGCCACACUGGAACUGAGACACGGUCCAGACUCCUACGGGAGGCAGCAGGUGGGAAUCUUGCGCAAUGGGACGAAAGCCUGACGCAGCGACGCCGCGGUGGGGGA
rnacentral:rRNA from 1 species